AGAUUGAACGCUGGCGGCAUGCCUUACACAUGCAAGUCGAACGGUAACAGGUCUUCGGAUGCUGACGAGUGGCGAACGGGUGAGUAACACAUCGGAACGUGCCCGAUCGUGGGGGAUAACGCAGCGAAAGCUGUGCUAAUACCGCAUUACGAUCUACGGAUGAAAGCGGGGGAUCUUCGGACCUCGCGCGGACGGAGCGGCCGAUGGCAGAUUAGGUAGUUGGUGGAUAAAAGCUU
rnacentral:rRNA from 1 species